CAGCAGCCACGGGAAUACGGAGGGCGCGAGCGUUACCCGGAUUUACUGGGCGUAAAGGGCGUGUAGGCGGCCUGGGGCGUCCCAUGUGAAAGGCCACGGCUCAACCGUGGAGGAGCGUGGGAUACGCUCAGGCUAGAGGGUGGGAGAGGGUGGUGGAAUUCCCGGAGUAGCGGUGAAAUGCGCAGAUACCGGGAGGAACGCCGAUGGCGAAGGCAGCCACCUGGUCCACUUCUGACGCUGAGGCGCGAAAGCGUGGGGAGCAAACCGGAUUAGAUACCCGUGUAGUCCCUGUCUCUUAUAC
rnacentral:rRNA from 1 species